AUUUUAAAUAUAACUUUAAUUUUUGUAAGUAAUUACAUAAGUAUGCCAUUAGAAAUAAAAUUUUAAAA
rnacentral:sRNA from 1 species